rnacentral:rRNA from 1 species
AGGGCACCACCAGGAGUGGAGCCUGCGGCUUAAUUUGACUCAACACGGGGAAACUCACCCGGCCCGGACACCGGAAGGAUUGACAGAUUGAUAGCUCUUUCUUGAUUCGGUGGAUGGUGGUGCAUGGCCGUUCUUAGUUGGUGGAGCGAUCUGUCUGGUUAAUUCCGAUAACGAACGAGACUCUAGCCUAUUAAAUAGACGUCGGGUUCUCUGCACUCGACGGUCUUCUUAGAGGGACAAGGUGCUUUUAGCACCGCGAAACAGAGCAAUAACAGGUCUGUGAUGCCCUUAGAUGUCCGGGGCCGCACGCGCGCUACACUGAAGGAAGCAGCGUGUGACAACCUUGUUCUAACGAACUGGGUAACCCGUGGAACUUCCUUCAUGAUUGGGAUAGGGGUUUGCAAUUGUGCCCCUUGAACGAGGAAUUCCCAGUAAACACUAGUCAUCAGCUAGUGCUGAUUACGUCCCUGCCCUUUGUACACACCGCCCGUCGCUACUACCGAUUGAAUGGUUUAGUGA